GACGAACGCUGGCGGCGUGCUUAACACAUGCAAGUCGAACGGAAAGGCCCUGCUUUUGUGGGGUGCUCGAGUGGCGAACGGGUGAGUAACACGUGAGUAACCUGCCCUUGACUUUGGGAUAACUUCAGGAAACUGGGGCUAAUACCGGAUAGGAGCUCCUGCUGCAUGGUGGGGGUUGGAAAGUUUCGGCGGUUGGGGAUGGACUCGCGGCUUAUCAGCUUGUUGGUGGGGUAGUGGCUUACCAAGGCUUUGACGGGUAGCCGGCCUGAGAGGGUGACCGGCCACAUUGGGACUGAGAUACGGCCCAGACUCCUACGGGAGGCAGCAGUGGGGAAUAUUGCACAAUGGGCGGAAGCCUGAUGCAGCAACGCCGCGUGCGGGAAGACGGCCUUCGGGUUGUAAACCGCUUUCGCCUGUGACGAAGCGUGAGUGACGGUAAUGGGUAAAGAAGCACCGGCUAACUACGUGCCAGCAGCCGCGGUGAUACGUAGGGUGCGAGCGUUGUCCGGAUUUAUUGGGCGUAAAGGGCUCGUAGGUGGUUGAUCGCGUCGGAAGUGUAAUCUUGGGGCUUAACCCUGAGCGUGCUUUCGAUACGGGUUGACUUGAGGAAGGUAGGGGAGAAUGGAAUUCCUGGUGGAGCGGUGGAAUGCGCAGAUAUCAGGAGGAACACCAGUGGCGAAGGCGGUUCUCUGGGCCUUUCCUGACGCUGAGGAGCGAAAGCGUGGGGAGCGAACAGGCUUAGAUACCCUGGUAGUCCACGCUGUAAACGGUGGGUACUAGGUGUGGGGUCCAUUCCACGGGUUCCGUGCCGUAGCUAACGCUUUAAGUACCCCGCCUGGGGAGUACGGCCGCAAGGCUAAAACUCAAAGGAAUUGACGGGGCCCCGCACAAGCGGCGGAGCAUGCGGAUUAAUUCGAUGCAACGCGUAGAACCUUACCUGGGUUUGACAUGGAUCGGGAGUGCUCAGAGAUGGGUGUGCCUCUUUUGGGGUCGGUUCACAGGUGGUGCAUGGCUGUCGUCAGCUCGUGUCGUGAGAUGUUGGGUUAAGUCCCGCAACGAGCGCAACCCUUGUUCACUGUUGCCAGCACGUUAUGGUGGGGACUCAGUGGAGACCGCCGGGGUCAACUCGGAGGAAGGUGGGGAUGACGUCAAGUCAUCAUGCCCCUUAUGUCCAGGGCUUCACGCAUGCUACAAUGGCUGGUACAGAGAGUGGCGAGCCUGUGAGGGUGAGCGAAUCUCGGAAAGCCGGUCUCAGUUCGGAUUGGGGUCUGCAACUCGACCUCAUGAAGUCGGAGUCGCUAGUAAUCGCAGAUCAGCAACGCUGCGGUGAAUACGUUCCCGGG
rnacentral:rRNA from 1 species